CUUAGGAAUUGCAUUCGAUACUGGUCAGCUAGAGUAUGGGAGAGGAUGGUAGAAUUCCAGGUGUAGCGGUGAAAAGCGUAGAGAUCUGGAGGAAUACCGAUGGCGAAGGCAGCCAUCUGGCCUAAUACUGACRCUGAGGUACGAAAGCAUGGGGAGCAAUCAGGAUUAGAUACCYUGGUAGUCCAUGCMGUAAACGAUGUCUACUAGCCUUUGGGGUCUUUUGAKACUUUAGUGGCGCAGCUAACGCGAUUAGUAGMCCGCUCUGGGGAGUACGGUCGCAAGACUAAAACUCAAAUGAAUUGAUGGGGGCCCGCACAAGCGGUGGAGCAUGUGGUUUAAUUCGAUGUAACGCGAAGAACCUUACCUGGCCUUUACAUAGUAAGAACUUUUCAGRGA
rnacentral:rRNA from 1 species